UCUCCCAUCUCCUCCUCCUCCUCUUCUUCUUCUUCCAAUCCAUUCCAAUCUCUUGCCAUGUCGCUUUACUGCCUCGUUAACUCCAUCUUGAUAAGCUUUCCCACUGUUAUGUUGGUUUCUUGUACAUGCUAUUUCAAGUUUUCAACCAAGAAGCAAUCCGACCCUGAAACAUGAGUCAGCAAUCCAACAAAAAAAAAUCAUUUUGAGGUUCAGAUUUCGGAAAACUGCUACUUAAUCAUUUUUCAUUAAAGAUUUUGAGCUUCUUUCCAUAGGCCAUGCACACGAAUUUUUUUUAGCUUGAUGACAUCUACAACUAAUUAAGAAUACCUAUGUGAAAACGACAAGAGAGCCCAAAUCAAACCUGAAUCGAGCACAGCAUGCUACCGAUAAGUUUGUGCAGACCGUGCUGACCUGAUAUCACCCCUACAUCACAGCUAACAGAAAAACAACUCCUCAUGCUAUUGGGAGAGCCUCAUGCUUGAAAAUGUAGUUGCGUUUCUUUUCAGCCACAAUGAAUAGCAGGUUACUGAAAAGUUCAGAUGAGUUCUUCAGUACUCGAAAUUUAAUGGGAAGUCAAGUUUAACCCGGUUUAAUUCUGACGAAGAACUUGACAACAAAAAAAAAACAGAUGCCUGCAUUUGGUGAUUCAUACAGAUAGGCUGUCAUAUUGCUGAUUUCACCUGGAAGGAGAUCUCCUUGCCACCUCAAUUAAUUGCACGUUCAUUUGGAGGCUUAAUUGUGCAGCGAUAUAUAUCUUGUUUGCAAGGGUUCCAAUGGAUAGCAAUUUUGGGGCCUCUAGACCAACAUCGCUGACAAGAUCAGAGCAACCGAUGUUGUUGAUAGUAAUCUUAAAUGAGAUGGAGUAGGGUGCAAUCCUACCAGCUGCACUUAGACUGCCCUGGUGAAUGCAUUUUGCAAGGGAAAGUCAGUAUGAGAAGACUGAAGAAGUGUUUGAAGAAUGCAACAGGCUAGCCACGAGACCGAAGUGUAUGCUUAUGAUGUCCUCAUGGAAGAUAAAUGGUGGUCAUCAUAAAUCCAUGGCUACACGAGCCUACGUUCCUACCGACAUCUGGAUGGAAUUUUUUACUUUUCUUUAAGUUUGGAGUAAUAUACAUUGUAUAUAUCAAUGCACCACAGCCAUACAGGAUUGCUGCAAGGCGCUUGAGGGAUCUCUCCUUGAUGCAGCAUUUGGUGAGGGGUGAUUGUGACAGAGCUUCAUAUAACAUCUUGGUGGAUGCAUAUGAAGAUUCAGAAGCAACAUUCAAGCAACUGAAGCAGCAGGUGAUGACAUUCUCGAUGAAGACAUUCUUACUUCUGUUGUUGGCGCGUGCAGGUCUGGCAACGUGGUGAGGAUCAAGUGGAGGUGAUGGCAUGGCUGCACAAAUCCGGCAUGUCAUAACUAUUGAUAAUGCUAUGCAUAUGGCCACCUUUAUGAAAGCUUUUGAUUAUCUUGAUUAUGGAUUAUAUGCAGUUGUCCAAAUAUGUACCUGCUAUAUUUGAAUAUACGGCAUGAGUGCAUAAUGACUAGACCCCCCCCCCCCCAAAAAAAAAAAAAGUGAUGACUUGUUUGGUUGGCCAGAUAUUUAUGAAUAAUUUUGUUGUUUGGGGAUAAUCAGAUAUUAGAGUAAUCAUAAGCUGUCCGUUGCUAUAAUUGGUCCCAAAGAGGACCUAUGAGUCUA